ensembl:lncRNA
CAGCAAUGUUUUACAGAAACUUCACUCAAAUAAAAGAAUAAACCACACGCGAAUGAGUAAUGUCAUUCAUUAAUGGUUAACUUACAUGUAAUGCAGCUACAUGACUUCAUUGUCCAGUCGGUGCAGAGGUUAAUUAGAGAGACAUUCAAGCUAGCUUUAACCUGUGUAAAUGUGCAACACAGAUUAUAUUCAAUCACACUGCUUUGUUGUUUGCUAACUCUGUUAGCUCAAGAGGAACACGGUGCAUCUAACCCCGAGCUGAAAUGAACAAACGUUUAACCUUUAACAGCAGACAAAAACCGGAAAACAGCUCUCACAGUGAUCUGGCUGCCUGUCAAAGCUCAUGUUAACUGUAUUAAAAAACAGCAGUUGUUUAAACGGCGGCUAACGUUAGCAGGCAGACUGGCUGUUAGCAUGAGGAAGCAGCCAAGCAGGAUGACAGACAGGCGCUACAGGGGCUAAAAUUAGCUUGCCACAGGCUGGCUAACCUGACAAUAUUUCGACUAACUAAGGUCUCAGACAAGGUUAAACGACGACACAGCAGGCUAAGACGUGUUUUGGACGCCGGACGAGUUCAGUUCUUCUUCCUCCUCCGGCUCCUUCGCUGCUUCCUGACAGUCAGCACACAACUAAGGGACACUACUGCCAUCUAAUGCCACUGUUUAUACUCUUAGUAAUAAAGCU